UGGAUACCCCCAGGGUGGAGCAGGAGGAUACCCCCAGGGUGGAGCAGGAAAACCAGGCAAAGCUGGCGGUGGUGAGUCUUUUACUUUGUCGCCAUGUUUUUCUCUUUAUUUCUCUCUUUCUUUCUUCUCCCUCUCUCUCUCUCUCUCUCUCUUUCUAUUCUCUUUUUUCUCUUUCACUCUCAUUUGCCCUCUUCCUCUCUCUCUCUCUCUCUCUCUCUCUCUCUCCCUCUCAGGUGCUAAUCUGGGACAGGGAGGAUAUCCCCAGGGUGGAGCAGGAGGAUACCCCCAGGGUGGAGCAGGCAAAUCAGCGGGUUAUGGUGAUCAAAUGGGAGGAGCAUACCCCGGGGCUGGAGCGGGCAACGGCUAUGGGAAUGGUGGAGGCCCAGCUGGGGGGGCCAAUGCAGUGCCUGCAGGCUAUGGCAAUGGCUACGGUGCUAGUACUGGAGGCAAUGGUUAUGGACCCGGGAUUGGGUACCCAACAGUGUUAGCGGAUGGUGCUGCUGGGCUGGGAGGCAAGGCAGGGAAGGGAGCAGGAGGUCUUGGCGCAGGAGGAUAUCCACAGGGACAGGAGAAAUAUGGGGGUGCUGGCUCUGGUCCUGGUGGUGCUCUGACUUAUGGGGGCCAGCCUGUGGUCCCUGCUGGGCUGUGGCCUGAUGGUGGGAAGUUGGGCGGGUACAGCCCAGAGCCCUACGGGGUUGCUCAGCCUAUAGGGCUGGGGCAUGAUACUGGCCUGGGGGGUGGAGUCAGUCAGCUUCCUUACAAUGGAGCCCCAGUCAAUACUGCUGGACUGGAUGCAGGUGAUGGAAGCUUCCCUUAUGGUGCUCAGCAACUGGGCCUUGGUGGUGGUGAUGGAGGCAAAUCCUCUGGCAAAUAUGGCAACGGUGGAUUGCCACAGGGUGCACAACAGGGUGCACAGCCUUAUGGACCUGCGACUGGUGGUGGGAAACCACCUUGCAAAAAUGGAAACGGAGGGGGCUUUGGAGCACAGCCAGCAGGCUAUGGUCAAGGACAGCUGGGUGCAGGUCAGAGUGCCCCCUACAGUAACGGAGCAGGAGGGAAGGAAAGCAAAUAUGGUGGUGGUGGACUGACUGGAUUCUUUGGAAAUGGAGGGUACAAAGGUUAAGUCAAUCAGCUGAGGCCUUCUUGAAGUGAAUAUUUGUUCCGUUCAGUCAUGUGUUCAUGGUGAUGUUUGUUGUUUGGUCUGUUGUUACAUUUAACUAUUCCAUUUUUGUUCUGUAUUUGUCUGGUUUUUUGUUCAUGGUCCUUGUCUUUUGUGUUGUUGUGUGUCUGUCCCCUCUCUUCCUCUACUGGRUUUGGAGAUUGUGUUGCCAGUGUGUUUGUGUUCAUAUCCAUUUCACACUAAAGGGCAGAAAGCAACCACAUAAUGUCUGUCAGUCUCCUCAUUCUUUUAACCUUGGCACCAGUAUUGUAAAUGUACUGUACAUGUGAUGUGGGGGUUGAGUUUUAAGACUGAAGCUCUAUGAGUUUAAAUCAACACCAAAUAAAAUAAAAUUCAAAGACAUGUUCCCAAAACCUGACACCUGAGUUCUUCUGAGGUCAUUAUAAAGGGGGAUAUUCUCUGGGAUAUUGUGAUGGACAGUACAUACAGAAGAUGUAAUGUGUAUGAAAAACUAUUCCUUAAUACCUCAGUAUGCCCGUGUUUUUUGUUCAUGACAUAGUACUUCUUAUGUUACUGUAUUGCUAUUACUGACAAUGUAUCCCCAAAGACCUUUAUCAUGUUCCACAACGGAAAUAGUUUUGUCAUUAUCUCAACACGGCAGUUUGUUUCAUUCGUCUUUUGCAUGGCGUCACCUGAACUUCAUCCGUGCACAGGAAACCAUAGCCCUUCCUCUCUCAAGUAAUGCAACUGUGCCUUCAAACAACUGAUGUCUCACAUACAGUAAACGAAACCAAAUGCAACAUAACGUAAC
rnacentral:lncRNA from 1 species